rnacentral:rRNA from 1 species
UACGUAGGGCGCAAGCGUUAUCCGGAAUUAUUGGGCGUAAAGAGCUCGUAGGCGGUUUGUCGCGUCUGCCGUGAAAGUCCGGGGCUCAACUUCGGAUCUGCGGUGGGUACGGGCAGGCUAGAGUGAUGUAGGGGAGACUGGAAUUCCUGGUGUAGCGGUGAAAUGCGCAGAUAUCAGGAGGAACACCGAUGGCGAAGGCAGGUCUCUGGGCAUUAACUGACGCUGAGGAGCGAAAGCAUGGGGAGCGAACAGG